rnacentral:lncRNA from 1 species
UACUGCGUCCUGUGAUCUGCGGAGACGGAGAAAAGACCGAGCAGUUUUUGUUGACCAAGUAUUAUUAGACGAGAAGCGACUAUACAUCUAAUAUGUGUGCUCAAAACUCCAGACUGCUUACGAUCUGACCAGCCACCACCAAAGACCAAAGCAAUCAGAGGAAUAAAGUACCACUACCGGAUCAUUAUCAGAGAGACGUUUACAAAAAGAAAUCUAUGGCAGCCACCCAACUGAUCUGCAAACCAUAGCAGGCAUGCACGUGUGAUGUUGCCACGCCGGCUACCGUUGUGCCGCCACCAAGCUCGGGAUCGCGUGUACUCGCCCCCCCCCCCAUCUCCAGCUCUGAGCCGGACUCACCAUGCCGCGCUCCGCCGCAGCAAGUCAGAGCCUGACUCGCCUCGUC